GUGACUGUCCCCAGGGUUUCGCCACUCCCGGACCCUGGGGACGCCUCCUCCUCGGGCCCUCGGCUACCCGCUGCGCUCUGCUAAGUGUAGAGUGGAGGAGGAGCCCCGCUGAGGGAAGAGAAAGGAACCUUUUAUACUCUUGAAAUGGGAAUACCCACCCUAAUCUGUAUCAACAAUUUAAUCUAAUCUGGGGAUUGUUUCCAGGACCCUCGCUGACAGCAAAAUCUGAGAAUGAUCAAGUCCUACUGUCUGCCCUCUGCAUCCACAGGCUUCCUACCUGCUGGGUCAGCAUCCAUGUAUUCAACCAACCAAUUCAACUGUGGAUCAAAUUUCAACAACUGGUUGAAUCUGCAGACACAGAACUGAAGAUACAUGACAGCCAACUGUAGUACAAAGAUACAACACAGGAACAGCCAACUGGACGAGAUGCAUUGGACAAAGCAUAGGGGUGUGGUGCAGAGCUUCCACGUCCGACCAGGGUGUGUCACCUUCCCAGCAGUUAAGCAAAUCUUUGCAGAUUCGUGCUGGGUUAUCUCGUGUGCCAAGAGGAUUCUUGAUGCUGUGCAAUAAAUUGCUAAGAAAAUAAGCUUGGAAACUAAGAAGCAUGAGUUGGGACAAGCUUCUGGGAAAAAGCCUCUGUGUAAGUGAACCAAGUGAUCUCAUUUCUUUCAGAGUGAUUGUCCUGCUAAGGUAUC